rnacentral:rRNA from 1 species
GAUGAACGCUGGCGGCGUGCCUAAUACAUGCAAGUCGAGCGAACGGACGAGAAGCUUGCUUCUCUGAUGUUAGCGGCGGACGGGUGAGUAACACGUGGAUAACCUACCUAUAAGACUGGGAUAACUUCGGGAAACCGGAGCUAAUACCGGAUAAUAUUUUGAACCGCAUGGUUCAAAAGUGAAAGACGGUCUUGCUGUCACUUAUAGAUGGAUCCGCGCUGCAUUAGCUAGUUGGUAAGGUAACGGCUUACCAAGGCAACGAUACAUAGCCGACCUGAGAGGGUGAUCGGCCACACUGGAACUGAGACACGGUCCAGAUUCCUACGGGAGGCAGCAGUAGGGAAUCUUCCGCAAUGGGCGAAAGCCUGACGGAGCAACGCCGCGUGAGUGAUGAAGGUCUUCGGAUCGUAAAACUCUGUUAUUAGGGAAGAACAUAUGUGUAAGUAACUGUGCACAUCUUGACGGUACCUAAUCAGAAAGCCACGGCUAACUACGUG